ACUGACACUUCAGCAGCACGUAAAAUUGGAAUAAUAAAGAUAAUAUCAGAAUGGCCCCUGUGCAAGGAUGACACACAAAUGUGUGAAGAGUUCCAUAUUUAA